AAAACAGAUGGGUGGGACUAAACAAUAUCUUACCUGUACCAGAGCCACCUCCAGCAUCGGAGUAAGCGCAAGAGAAUGGUGAAAAAAUGAAAUUGGACCCCAAUGGAAAGCCCACAUUGUCAGCACAUCCUGCCCGGUUUUCUCCAGACGACAAGUACUCUAAACAGAGGGUGACA